GCCCUGCAGUGGGAGGGAUAGGCAUGGAGUUUCAUAGCUCCCCUCUCUGUCGCCCUGCAGUGGGAGGGAUAGGCAUGGAGUUUCAUAGCUCCCCUCUCUGUGUCGCCCUGCAGUAGGAGGGAUAGGCAUGGAGUUUCAUCGCCAUCGCUCCCCUCUCUGUGUCGCCCUGCAGUGGGAGGGAUAGGCAUGGAGUUUCAUCGCUCCCCUCUCUGUGUCGCCCUGCAGUGGGAGGGAUAGGCAUGGAGUUUCAUAGCU